UUCGUGCCAGCUACCGCGGUUAUACGAAAGAUAUAAAUAAAUUUUAUUAGUAAUAGUUAAAUUGUAUUUUUACAAAAUAAAUUUAAUUUUAUUAAGUGAAAUUUUAAAAUUAAUAAUUUUUGUUUUAUAAUUAGAAUUGAGGCUAAAAAAUUUUAUAAAUAAACUAGGAUUAGAUACCCUAUUAUUUAAAAUGUAUAUAAAUAAAUACUAGAGUAGUAAUAGAUAUGUUCUUGAAACUUAAAGAAUUUGGCGGUAUUUUAGUCUAUUCAGAGGAAUCUGUUCUAUAAUCGAUAUUCCACGAUGAAUCUUACUUAAUUUUGUUUUUCAAUUUGUAUACCGCUGUUAUAGAAUAUUUUAUAAAAAAAAUAAUUUUCAAUAAUUUAAAUAAAAAUUAAUAUCAAGUCAAGGUGCAGUUUAUAAUUAAGUAGAAAUGGAUUACAAUAAAUAUAUUUAUGCGGAUAUAAAAUUUAAAUAUUUUAUUGAAGAUGGAUUUGAUAGUAAAAUUAUAAAUAUUAAUAAUUUGAUUUUAGCUCUAAAAUAUGCACAUAUCGCCCGUCGCUCUUAUUAUUAAAAUAAGAUAAGUCGUAACAUAGUAGAUGUACUGGAAAGUGUAUCUAGAAUGA
rnacentral:rRNA from 1 species